rnacentral:rRNA from 1 species
GAUGAACGCUGGCGGCGUGCCUAAUACAUGCAAGUCGAGCGAACAGACGAGGAGCUUGCUCCUUUGACGUUAGCGGCGGACGGGUGAGUAACACGUGGAUAACCUACCUAUAAGACUGGGAUAAUUUCGGGAAACCGGAGCUAAUACCGGAUAAUAUAUUGAACCGCAUGGUUCAAUAGUGAAAGACGGUUUUGCUGUCUCUUAUAGAUGGAUCCGCGCCGCAUUAGCUAGUUGGUAAGGUAACGGCUUACCAAGGCAACGAUGCGUAGCCGACCUGAGAGGGUGAUCGGCCACACGGGAACUGAGACACGGUCCAGACUCCUACGGGAGGCAGCAGUAGGGAAUCUUCCGCAAUGGGCGAAAGCCUGACGGAGCAACGCCGCGUGAGUGAUGAAGGUCUUCGGAUCGUAAAGCUCUGUUAUUAGGGAAGAACAGAUGUGUAAGUAACUAUGCACGUCUUGACGGUACCUAAUCAGAAAGCCACGGCUAACUACGUG